CAACUUUUUUUUGCAGCUUUUAAGAACAAAAUAAGAUGCCUUCUUUGCACUAAGAUUUUCAAGUAGGAGAGUGGAAUUGCAAGUCCUUUCUCAUCACAGAGCAAAAUGAGAAAAUAUCUACUGAAAAGAGGGAAGGACUCCUCUGGAAUUGAGACCGAGAUGAAGAGAAGGAACAAAUAUUUAUCCGAUAAAAUUCAGAAUCUGCGUUACAAUAAAGUUUAAUUGAAUAAAUUUGAUUUUAAGUGUU